rnacentral:rRNA from 1 species
GCUAGCUACAGGCUUAACACAUGCAAGUCGAGGGGCAGCAUGGUCUUAGCUUGCUAAGGCCGAUGGCGACCGGCGCACGGGUGAGUAACACGUAUCCAACCUGCCGUCUACUCUUGGACAGCCUUCUGAAAGGAAGAUUAAUACAAGAUGGCAUCAUGAGUCCGCAUGUUCACAUGAUUAAAGGUAUUCCGGUAGACGAUGGGGAUGCGUUCCAUUAGAUAGUAGGCGGGGUAACGGCCCACCUAGUCUUCGAUGGGUAGGGGUUCUGAGAGGAAGGUCCCCCACAUUGGAACUGAGACACGGUCCAAACUCCUACGGGAGGCAGCAGUGAGGAAUAUUGGUCAAUGGGCGAGAGCCUGAACCAGCCAAGUAGCGUGAAGGAUGACUGCCCUAUGGGUUGUAAACUUCUUUUAUAAAGGAAUAAAGUCGGGUAUGGAUACCCGUUUGCAUGUACUUUAUGAAUAAGGAUCGGCUAACUCCGUGCCAGCAGCCGCGGUAAUACGGAGGAUCCGAGCGUUAUCCGGAUUUAUUGGGUUUAAAGGGAGCGUAGAUGGAUGUUUAAGUCAGUUGUGAAAGUUUGCGGCUCAACCGUAAAAUUGCAGUUGAUACUGGAUAUCUUGAGUGCAGUUGAGGCAGGCGGAAUUCGUGGUGUAGCGGUGAAAUGCUUAGAUAUCACGAAGAACUCCGAUUGCGAAGGCAGCCUGCUAAGCUGCAACUGACAUUGAGGCUCGAAAGUGUGGGUUUCAAACAGGAUUAGAUACCCUGGUAGUCCACACGGUAAAACGAUGAAUACUCGCUGUUUGCGAUAUACAGCAAGCGGCCAAGCGAAAGGCGUUAAGUAUUCCACCUGGGGAGUACGCCGGAAACGGUGAAACUCAAAGGAAUUGACGGGGGCCCGCACAAGCGGAGGAACAUGUGGUUUAAUUCGAUGAUACGCGAGGAACCUUACCCGGGCUUAAAUUGCAGAUGAAUUACGGUGAAAGCCGUAAGCCGCAAGGCAUCUGUGAAGGUGCUGCAUGGUUGUCGUCAGCUCGUGCCGUGAGGUGUCGGCUUAAGUGCCAUAACGAGCGCAACCCUUGUUGUCAGUUACUAACAGGUCAUGCUGAGGACUCUGACAAGACUGCCAUCGUAAGAUGUGAGGAAGGUGGGGAUGACGUCAAAUCAGCACGGCCCUUACGUCCGGGGCUACACACGUGUUACAAUGGGGGGUACAGAGGGCCGCUACCACGCGAGUGGAUGCCAAUCCCCAAAACCUCUCUCAGUUCGGACUGGAGUCUGCAACCCGACUCCACGAAGCUGGAUUCGCUAGUAAUCGCGCAUCAGCCACGGCGCGGUGAAUACGUUCCCGGGCCUUGUACACACCGCCCGUCAAGCCAUGGGAUCCGUGGGUACCUGAAGUGCGUAACCGCGAGGAGCGCCCUAGGGUAAAACUGGUGACUGGGGC